GGCGAACGGGUGAGUAACACGUGGGUGAUCUGCCUUGCACUUCGGGAUAAGCUUGGGAAACUGGGUCUAAUACCGGAUAGGACAGCUGUUUAGUGUCAGUUGUGGAAAGUUUUUCGGUGCAAGAUGAGCUCGCGGCCUAUCAGCUUGUUGGUGGGGUAAUGGCCUACCAAGGCGUCGACGGGUAGCCGGCCUGAGAGGGUGGACGGCCACAUUGGGACUGAGAUACGGCCCAG
rnacentral:rRNA from 1 species